UACGUAGGGGGCAAGCGUUGUCCGGAUUUAUUGGGCGUAAAGCGCACGCAGGCGGUGCGGUAAGUUUCGAGUGACAGGUGGUGGCUUAACUGCCACAGGACUCGGAAAACUGCUGCACUUGAGGGCUUGAGAGGGACGCGGAAUUCCUGGUGUAGCGGUGAAAUGCGCAGAUAUCAGGAAGAACACCCGUGGCGAAGGCGGCUCUCUGGGACGGUACUGACGCUGAGACGCGAAAGCGUGGGGAGCGAACAGG
rnacentral:rRNA from 1 species